ensembl:lncRNA
UGCGCCGAGGGCCCCGCGCAUGCGCACGGCUCGCAGGGGCGCCGCGGCGGGGCCGUUGAGCGGCGGUUUGCCCUUCCCGCCGCCUUUAGUGAUAGAGGCCUGUUAGUUACUCCGUAUUAAAGUAUUAGUACUUCGACUGUUAAAUAAUUAUCGUUCAGUAUUAAUUAAUUAUCACUUGACGCUAAUUAAUUAGUGGGUAGUAUCUAUCGAAUAUUGAAGCACUCGAUUUUUUUUUUCCAAAAAAUCAUGGAGGAAAUUCCAAAAGAGCGGGCCUGGGGGAGGUGCAGAAAAGGGUGGCUGCCUUGCUCGCCGGCAGCAGAAAGUGCGGGGCCUCCUGUGGUGGAGAGUGAGCUUUCUGCUAGCCCUCAGGCAGGACCCUGCAACAGAGCCGCCCCCCAGAACCGCUGCUUUACCCUGGCCGUGGUGGGGUGUCUCUGUGGGGAGCAGCUGGGGCAGAGAGCGCUUUGGUGUUCCCGGGCAGCAGGGCUGCUUCCAAAAGGGGAGGAGAGCCCUUCUCUGCAGUCUCCCCGCUUCUGAGGAGCCACAAAGCCCGUUUGCUGUAAUAGAAAUAACGUUUUCUACCCUAAAUAUGAGCAGUUCGGAGUGCUGAUAAAUGAAUGAUAAGGUAGCUGUCAUGGUUCCUUCCGCCUGUGACAGAGACUUGUUUAGAAAGCAAAAACUAAAUGCAUUAGAAAAAGUCAUAUAUUUUAAGAGGAAAACAAUUAUGAAGUCAGUUGAGGAUUUGUCUUGAAAUUUUGGAAAAUAUGAUUCUAGAGGUGAAUAUUGGAGACUGCUAUAGACAGUGCAUGCACAGCAGGAAAACCAGCCGGCUUAAACUCAAGAUCUCCUUGCUGCAGGCAUGUCACUUCGGAGAAUUUCUGGAUGCAACAGCCAAGGAGGUGACGAUGCCUCACGUUCUCAGCAUCGGCAAACGCCUUCAGAUACCGUCCUCAUCAUCAAACUGCGAAGGAAGUUUGCAGAGAUGGUGKUGUUGCUGGCCUCCUUAAACACCAGACAAGUGCACAUGCUAAGGGCCAGUGGCAGAGCAAGGGAGUGGAUGGAGACAACUGCUCCAUGGAGAAUCCCAUCCAUAAACCCAAAGCGGACACAACUACAUGAGCAUGUGCUGCCCUCCCCCUUUACCUCAUGCUGUCCUGUCAAUAAGGAGGAUGUCAGCUGCAAGCGAGGAAGGCUACCUAACCUCACUCAACCUUCUUCCUCUUUUUGGGGGAGAGCUGAAUAUUCCCACACAUGGACUUGGACCCAAGGUCUUCUGAAGCCUGUGAAGCCAGCAAGUGCUAUCAGGUGUCUGCAUGCUUAUUCCUUGUUGUCUYUCACAAGACACAGUAUGGGGAGGCUGUGCCAGAAAUACAGAUACUGUCAUUAUUAUUUCUAUUAUUAUGGAGUAAACACAAGAGCUUAUUAUCUUAAGAUCAGGUCAGCUCUGUACCCUGCAGUGCAUCGCUCUGGAAGUUCACAGAUGAAAGGAGUGAGAAUUGCACCCAUACUCAUCAUUUUGUCCUUGUCCACAGAUGUAGGGCUGCGCUGAUGAGGUCUUAUCAAGCACGUGAGUCAGUAACAGGGAGAGGCAUCAUUUCUCUGUACACAGAAUAAUCAACUCCAAGUUAAAUGCAAUGCUUUAAAGUGAUUUGUAUCCAUUCUCACCCCCACCUUCUCAGUCUAAUUAACUCCUCUAAUAGAAUUAAUCAGCACACUAAAUACGAGACUCGCCAACGACAAAGAAAAAAAAAAAGAAGAACACACACAAACCACUAUCUAUUCCAAAAUACAAUUAUACUGACAAACUCAAUUACAUGCCUCAGUCGCUUCUGAAAUUACUCACUGAUAUUGGACUGUGCACAGUUUAAGUUUUAUUGUUAAAAGAAAUCAUAAACACUUUCUAAAUCAUACAGUGUUUACAGAAAUACACAGAAGCACAGCUUUUAUUACCCAUGUGGCAAAAUUAAUUUGACACAUUGAAAGCAAAUGAAUAGAGCUGGAGGACUCUAUUCUUGCAGUAUUCUUUCCACCAACACAAUUUACUUUGGGGGAACAUCUAACACAUUAACCUGAUUAGACUCUGAUGUAGGUAAAUAGCAUUUCCAAGGAAGGGAGCAGGGAUCUAAAUCAAAAUUUUUUCUGCAUUUGAAUGAGAAACAUCAAUUACUGCAUUUCUAACUAUUCAUUGAGUACAAAAACCCUUUCACUAAGUAAAUUUUUGCCCUGAAAUCAGCAAAACUUUUGCAGCGGGAGCGGUCCACAGUAUGUAAUUAUGAUCUUUGCUUUAGUCUUUUAAGUUUGUGGUGAACUCUUCAGCUGAAAAUAAAUUCCAAUCAGCUUUCA